CGGAUAGCGAGAAGCGUUCGCCGCCGCCGUGCAUGCGACGCAACUUAUUAAAGCACGGCUUCGUAGCAAUGCCCAGGAGAGCUCGCUUCCGCGGUACGGUGCCACUCAUCCAGGAAGAAGGCGUGCUUAGGAACGCAACUGUCACCAAGUUUCCAGACAACAAUAACAUGAACAACAGAAACAUUGCAAGAUCAGAUGAGUGUGGCACAAUAAAUGAAUUAAACAAUGAGCUGAGAAAGCUAAACCUCAUACCAAGGGUACAGUCUUCAAGAGGUCAAAGAGAUUGUAAUGAAAAUGAAUUAGUCUUAUCUCCUUCAAAAAAAAUAUUAAACACAAGAAAAGAAAGUAAUGACACAUUGAAGGCUUCAAGAAGAAGAUGGAAUCUAGAUCUGAAACUGUGGCAUCGAUUGAAUCAGCAUCAAAAUUUGACCAGUUUUCGGCAUAAUUCAAAACUUUUUCAAACAUGGGUGCCAAAUGAUGAACUUGACAUUGUAUCCAGUUCAUGUUAUGAUCGCAGUGAGCAUCACUUUUCAGAUAUAGGUGAAAUAUCUUUACAACCUGAAAUACUAGAACAGAAGACAUGGUAUGGAAUGAUCAAAUCUAUACUUUUUAAGAAAAGAUAUGUUCACUGAAAACAGAGCAGCUAAAAUAAACUGUAUUUGUGAGUGAAUACAUUUAGUAAUGUGCAUGGUGGUUCAACAUUCAGUGCCAAUCUCUUAAAUAGUGUAAAAGAAAGAGAUUUUCUCUUAUGCUGCAACUAUACACUGUACCCCAGACACUAAACAUUAGAAACACAUUUCAAUUUCUUCCAUAUGUAGGGAAGUACAACAUAAUUCUAAUACUAGAAGCUUCACUACUCCACAUCUAACAAAAUAAACAUUGGUAACUAUCCUGGAAGGUUCUAUACAUCAAUACUGUUAAGAGAUGGUGUCAUGAGGCAUGCUGCAAAACCAGAAAAUCCUAAAUGUUGUAUCAGACAUAGACAGUUUGUACUAAGCUGUCUCAUCUUUCUCGGUAAUAUCAUAUUUGAAAUUUCUGCAGCACUAAAACCACCAGGCUUGGGACACAAAUGAUAUGUCUUUCACCUCUACAAAGUUUGGUAAAACUUUGAUAUUGGUAUUGAUUUUUGAAUCACCCUUGACUAAAUAUACUUGCAAUUUAGUACUUACAUGAUAUAUGUAGUACUUUUAAUUAUCUCAGAAAUUAUGUACAAUGUAGACAGAUGUGAGAAACUGAUUUAUGUUCACACAUUAAAAAUUUCUUUCUUAAUAUUGUACAUAAUUUCCUGUCACUGUAAAAAAAAGCACAGUAUACGAAUAAUCAUGAUAAAUUUACCAGUGCAUUUAGAAUAAUAUAAUAAAAAAAGUGAUGAAAGCUGGUGCUUAGUUGAAACUGUUAGGGAACUUACUAAAGUAUUUUUUAAAUCAUGCUUCAUCUAUUAACAACUGUUUAUGCUAAACUUUUGACAAUUUUCUUGAAGUAACAUAUGAUGGAAUAACUAAUGAAGGAUAGACAAUAAAAUAAUUGCAAUACAUUAACAUUGAUAAAUUAAAUAGUUACAAAUUAUGAUAUUUCUCAUUCAGUGGCAGAAAUAGAAUAAACAAACAGAGACCAAGCUACUACUUAUGAGAAUACCUAAAAUCAAGCUUGUCUUAGUCACCACGGAUAAUUGCAUUCAUAAAAGUGUUUGGAGAGAAACAGUUGAUUUGUUAAACAUGUAUUUAAACCAUUUGGAGAUAUUUUUUAGUUUCUCUUGUUUUAAGAUGUUAUGUUGGCUUCAUUUUUCAUUUUAAAAAUUACUUUUUGAUAAGUAAUUGACAAUAACUUAAUGUAUAAUUCAUUGCUAAACGUUUUGGAUGCUGUACUUGAACUAAAGGUUGGUCCUUGGUUACUAUCUUCCGUACCAAACUAAAUUACUCAAACAUUACAGUCUCAGCUACCUCUACUCUCAUUAUUUUGUUGAAUAUUAUCGAAGAAAGGGUACACUGUACCAUGAGGUGAGAAGCCCUUAACUCAGGUCUACCUUCAUUUUGCAUUAAUUACAUUCACAUCAGUCUUUUUUUCCAAAAGUGGCCUAUCAUGCCAGUUAGGAAUUAAAUAUUCUGAGGAGAUGCAAAAUCAUUUGAAAAUCAACUAGCAGUCAAAAUUGCUAGCUCUGUUCAUAAGUGAGAAGUAGACAAAGCAGAAGCAAUCUUGUUCAUAUCAUCCAUAAAUAUACACUUUUAAUUUAUUGCAUGACUUUAAAAACCAGCUACAUAUUUAAUUAUGUUUAGCAGGUCAUUACAUUUUACAGCAUUUCACAUUGCCUGCUUUCCCAUACCUUCAUUCUUUUUCAUAUUUCAGCAGUGAUGGUUGUGAGACAUUUGUGGAAUGGCACCAAGCAAGUCCACAAACUGUCAUUCUUAAAAGACUGAGGGAACGAUGUGUUAAAUGUUAAUUGAUUUCAAAUUUGUGUACAAUUUGGCUACUAAAUAACAUGAAGAAGAUAUGACAGAACCAGAAAGUUCAUAUCUGUUUUAUGACACACAAAAUUAUGAAGAACCACUUAUUAUUAUUUGAAAUCUGCACAAAACAUAAAUUGCAUCAUGAAUAGUGGCACCUCACAUAUAAUAGUCAACAUUUGAAUAUUAUCUCACUGCUUAUAAAGGCAUUCCACAGUGGUUCCAGCUUUACUUCUCUGGUGUAAUUCAUCAGUAAAGGAAAAAAAAAUAUUACUACAGUUUGCAAUUCCUGAUCAAAAUAAAUUAGAGGUGGUUCAAUUUCACUUUGCCACUAAAAAUUAAACAGAGGUAUCAGAAACUGAUGGAAAGUUUAUUUCCCCCUUUUUAUUAUAUUUAUAUCUACUGUAAUUUGAUGGAAGCCUGCAGUCAUUAACAGAAAAAAGUUGAUUAUUUCAAAAACUCUAUGCAGAACAUGUGUGUCCUUUCAAAGUAGUCUAGUGCUUACUUCAAAAAACUGCUAAGCAAUAUUCUAUCAUGGAACAUCAUUCCUUCUUUGUACGAGAAACCACAUAGACAAAUAACCACUUUUUCAUUGCCAUAUUCAGAGUUAAUACAGAUUCUUAUAUCAGUAUGUCACAGUGCUUUCUGGAUACUGAACAUCAUUAUUACAGUGAAACUUUCCUACUUACAUUAGUGUCCACAAAUUCUUUAUUUAAUAUUUGUUAUAACUUGUGGUUCACGCAAAUUACCACCUAUCUGUAUCACUGCUUGUCUGUGUGCUGUUUGACUACUGUUCAUAGAUAAUCAAUAAACUGUAGUGACUGAAGAAUCUGUAUCUAUGAAGAUACGGUGUAUUACGGUAGGAUAGUUGGAAAUAUUGUGAUAUCCUAUCAUUAAUGGUGCUGUGAAAUCAAAUAAAAGUGAAGAAUGUUUUCUCCAGAAUAAUAACUAUCUCAUGUAAGAUAUAAUAUUGAAGAUGAAUUGUUUGUGUAGCAUUCCUGUACCAAAUUAGAUGGUGACAAUAAAUUUUGAUUUUUUUUCCAUUGCA